rfam:Rattus norvegicus chromosome 10, whole genome shotgun sequence.
GGGGGUUUAGCUCAGUGGUAGAGCGCUUGCCUAGCAAGCACAAGGCCCUGGGUUCGGUCCUCAGCUCCG